rnacentral:rRNA from 1 species
AGUGAACGCUGGCGGUAGGCCUAACACAUGCAAGUCGAACGGCAGCACAGUAAGAGCUUGCUCUUACGGGUGGCGAGUGGCGGACGGGUGAGGAAUACAUCGGAAUCUACUUUUUCGUGGGGGAUAACGUAGGGAAACUUACGCUAAUACCGCAUACGACCUACGGGUGAAAGCAGGGGAUCUUCGGACCUUGCGCGAUUGAAUGAGCCGAUGUCGGAUUAGCUAGUUGGCGGGGUAAAGGCCCACCAAGGCGACGAUCCGUAGCUGGUCUGAGAGGAUGAUCAGCCACACUGGAACUGAGACACGGUCCAGACUCCUACGGGAGGCAGCAGUGGGGUAAAAUGGACAAUGGGCGCAAGCCUGAUCCAGCCAUACCGCAUGGGUGAAGAAGGACUUCGGUUUGUAAAGCCCUUUUGUUGGGAAAGAAAAGCAGCAGGUUAAUACCCCGCUGUUCUGACGGUACCCAAAGAAUAAGCACCGGCUAACUUCGUG